UACGUAGGGUGCGAGCGUUUAAUCGGAAUUACUGGGCGUAAAGCGUGCGCAGGCGGUUCGUUGUGUCGGCGGUGAAAGCCCCGGGCUCAACCUGGGAAUGGCCGUUGAAACUGGCGAACUGGAGUGUGGCAGGAGGGGGGUGGAAUUCCGCGUGUAGCAGUGAAAUGCGUCGAGAUGCGGAGGAACACCGAUGGCGAAGGCAGCCCCCCUGGGCUGACACUGACGCUCAGGCACGAAAGCGUGGGGAGCAAACAGG
rnacentral:rRNA from 1 species